GUCGCCGCCAGGGGGAGUGUCCGUCGGGAAACGUGGUGUUGCUUCCUUGGUGUGAAGGUGCUUUCAAACUUCAGGUUUCUGAUCCUUUCCCCUGGGUUCUGAAGAGCGUAGAGGAAGAUGGAGACCGAGUCCGGGGCGCAAACAUCAAAUCAGACGCAAACAGAUUCAUUAUCUCCAUCCCCUAAUCCUGUGUCACCUGUGCCUUUGAAUAACCCAACAAGUGCCCCAAGAUAUGGAACAGUGAUCCCUAAUCGCAUCUUUGUAGGAGGAAUUGACUUUAAGACAAAUGAAAAUGAUUUAAGAAAAUUUUUUUCCCAGUAUGGGUCUGUGAAAGAAGUGAAGAUUGUAAAUGACAGAGCUGGAGUGUCCAAAGGGUAUGGUUUCAUCACUUUUGAAACACAAGAAGAUGCACAAAAAAUUUUACAAGAGGCUGAAAAACUUAAUUAUAAAGAUAAGAAACUGAACAUUGGUCCAGCAAUAAGAAAACAACAAGUAGGAAUUCCUCGUUCCAGUAUAAUGCCUGCAGCUGGAACAAUGUAUCUAACAACUUCAACUGGAUAUCCUUACACUUAUCAUAAUGGUGUUGCUUAUUUUCAUACUCCAGAGGUAACUUCUGUUCCACCACCUUGGCCUUCACGUUCUGUAUCUAGUUCCCCUGUGAUGGUAGCUCAGCCAGUUUAUCAGCAACCUGCGUAUCACUAUCAGGCCCCUGCACAGUGCCUACCAGGACAGUGGCAGUGGGGCGUUCCUCAGUCUCCUGCAUCUUCUGCUCCAUUCUUAUACCUGCAACCUUCUGAGGUUAUUUAUCAACCGGUGGAAAUGGCACAAGAUGGUGGAUGUGUCCCUCCUCCACUGUCUCUGAUGGAAGCCUCAGUUCCAGAGCCUUAUUCUGAUCAUGGAGUUCAAGCAACAUAUCACCAGGUUUAUGCUCCAAGUGCCAUCGCUAUGCCUACACCUGUGAUGCAGCCUGAGCCAAUUAAAACAGUGUGGAGCAUUCAUUAUUAAGACAACUGGGCAGCUCUAGUCCAGCUCAACUGAUUUCUUGUCCAAUGAUCCUUGUGUGGCCAAGAUCCAGCUUCAACGAACCGUCUAGAAGCUGCCCAUUGUGACACUUAGGAUGGCACACUUGGUUUCCUGAAACAUCCUGACAUCUCAUACCUUCCAGUUCUUAAGUGAGGAGCUGUGGACUUUAAAAUCUAUGCCUUGGAGAGAUCCCUAAAUCCAGUUUGAGAUUCUUGGAGCAUUGAUCAUUUCCUCCCUUCACCAUCACCUUCAACAAAUUCAACAGAACAGAUCUGAAUAAGGGGAGGAAAUUGAAACUUGAAGAGAUCAAGUAACUUGCCAAGAUCACGUCUGUAGUAGGCAUUAGAAGCAGGAUUUGAAGCCAAGCAGUCUGAUUCCAGGGCUCACAGCUUUGGUGAGUGCACCAUACUACCUGAGCUGUACAUGGUAAUAUGCAGUGAACACUCAUUACAAUUGGUCCAUUAUAAAUUGUUCCUGACUUCAGGUAAAUGGCAAUUUAUAAGACUGAAUAAUCAAGUUGUCAGUUUUGUUGCUUUUUUUUUUUUAAUUAAGGAUACUUUGGGACCUGUAAAAGUGUUAACAGUUCCUCUCAGAAGCCUGCUAAUAGUGGAGUACUUUAAACUUUAAGGAUACUAUCCACAUAAGAGAAAUAAAAUCUUAUCAUUAAAAUAUCUUUUUUUAAUGUUUAUUUAUUUUUAAGAGAGAGAGAGAGAGAGAGAGAG